AAGGAUCAUUACUGAGAGGUUAUUAAGACUCUUGGGUUGAGUUUCUUUGCUCUUCUCUUGAGUUUCCUCACGGUUUUGUGCAAUGUUGGGUCACCUUGGUUGACUCUGCCCUAAGUAUUGGGCUGGCCUUUGGGGCCCCUAGUAUGAUUUAUCAUACUAACCCCAGAGGUUAUUUCUACUAUGUCUAUGAAUUGAUGUAUGAAAAAGUUAUUUGUUAACUUGAAGGCUUUUCUGUAAAAAGUGAGUCUUUAAAAACAACUCUUGGCAAUGGAUCUCUUGGUUCUCGCAUCGAUGAAGAGCGUAGCAAAGUGCGAUAAUUAUUGCGACUUGCAUUCAUAGUGAAUCAUCGAGUUCUUGAACGCAUCUUGCGCCUAGUAGUCAAUCUACUAGGCACAGUUGUUUCAGUAUCUGCAUCCACCAAUCAAUACAACUUGCUUGUGUUGGAACUGGGCUUACUUUUGAUGGCAUUUGGUUGCUGUCAUGGCCUUAAAUGUAUUUAGUCCUAGGUGUUAACUUGUUAAUGCCGGAUGGAGACUCUAGAGUGCCUUAGAAGCAGCUUGGUUAGUGAGUUCAUAAUUCCAAGUGUUAGUCUUUUAUUGAACUGGGUUUCUAGUCUAUGGGACUUACUUGAGAGUCGACCUCUCUAGUAAAUCAAACUCACAUCUAGAUCUGAAAUCAACUGAGAUCACCCGCUGAACUUAA
rnacentral:rRNA from 1 species